UCCUCUAACUGUAUGUGACAGGAUUUGUAUAGAGGAAGAGGCUUUGCAUAUCUGUCCUGCUUCACUGCUCUACACACUUUAAGACCCCCAGUACUGAUCAGUGACUGUCCAGUCCUUUCACAGACACUGACAAAGGCAGCGCUAUAAUGAUGUUGGUCUUUUUACUGCUGGUGAUGCUGGGACUCCUUGUACAAGAAUCAAUGGCAGAUGUAGUUCUGACUCAGGAUCCAUCAGCUCAGUCUAUUCAGCUGGGAGACACUGUUUCUAUCAGCUGUACAGCCAGUCAGAGCGUUUACACUGACAGCAGUGGUGACAGACUCAGCUGGUACCUGCAGAAACCUGGUCAGGCUCCUAAACUUCUGAUUUAUCUUGCCACAAGUCGCCAGUCUGGGAUUCCUGAUCGUUUCAGUGGGAGUGGAUCUGGGACUCAGUUCACACUGAAAAUCACUGGAGUCCAGGCUGAAGAUGCAGGAGAUUAUUACUGUCAGAGUUACCACUACAUCAACAGUAAAGUUAUAUUCACACAGUGAUACAGAGCCGUACAAAAACCUCCUUCAGUCAGACUGCACAGAGACUGCACUGCUGCAGCUGGGACCUACUGCAGGUGCUGAGGGGGGAGGCAUUGAUCUGUGACACUGAGGGACACUGCUCAAAUUUUGUGCAAUAAUAAUUCACAUAUUCUAAUAUUAUUACCAUUUCUCUAAAUGUUAAUGUGAGCACAUCCAAAACCUUCCUCUUAAGAUCAAUUUUUAUUAAAUAAGCAUUAACCUUUCA